rnacentral:misc_RNA from 1 species
GAUGAAGAAACGUAGCGAAAUGCGAUAAGUAAUGUGAAUUGCAGAAUUCAGUGAAUCAUCGAAUCUUUGAACGCAUCUUGCGCUCCUUGGUAUUCUGAGGAGCAUGCCUGUUUGAGUGUCAUUAAAUUCUCAACUACACUGACUUUGAAUUGGUGUGGCUUGGAUUUGGGGGGAAAAUUGUUGUGGGCUUUUUGUAUAGUCUGCUCCCCUGAAAUUGAUUAGCGGUACCUUUGUGGAACUGUCUACAGGUGUGAUAAUUAUCUACAUCUUAGACAUCUGCUGGAAUGCUGCUUUCUAAACCUUACUUGUAUUGACAAUCUUGACCUCAAAUCAGGUAGGACUACCCGCUGAACUUAAGCAUAUCAAUAAGCGGAGGA